CAGUAGCCGCGGUAAUACGUAGGGUGCAAGCGUUAAUCGGAAUUACUGGGCGUAAAGCGUGCGCAGGCGGUUAUGUAAGACAGUUGUGAAAUCCCCGGGCUCAACCUGGGAACUGCAUCUGUGACUGCAUAGCUAGAGUACGGUAGAGGGGGAUGGAAUUCCGCGUGUAGCAGUGAAAUGCGUAGAUAUGCGGAGGAACACCGAUGGCGAAGGCAAUCCCCUGGACCUGCACUGACGCUCAUGCACGAAAGCGUGGGGAGCAAACAGGAUUAGAUACCCGCGUAGUCCCUGUCUCUUAUAC
rnacentral:rRNA from 1 species